rnacentral:rRNA from 1 species
GGACCCGCACAAGCGGUGGAGCGUGUUCUUUAAUUCGAGGCUAAACGAAGAACCUUACCUAGGCUUGACAUCCCGAGAAUUUCUCCGAAAGGAGAGAGUGCUUUAUUGAACUCGGUGACAGAUGAUGCAUGGCCGUCGUCAGCUCGUGUCGUGAGAUGUUUGGUUAAGUCCAUCAACGAGCGCAACCCUUGCGGACAGUUAUAUUUUUCUGUUCGGACUGCCCCGGUAACGGGGAGGAAGGAGGGGAUGACGUCAGGUCAGUAUUUCUCUUACGUCUAGGGCUAGAAACGCGCUACAAUGGCCGGUACAACGGGCAGCGAAACAGUAAAUGUGAAGCAAAUCCCAUCAAAACCGGUCCCAGUUCGGAUAGAGGGCUGAAACUCGCCCUCUUGAAGUCGGAAUCGCUAGUAAUCGCAGAUCAGCACGCUG